rnacentral:rRNA from 1 species
CAGCCGUAAACUAUGCUCGCUAGGUGUCAGGCAUGGCGCGACCGUGUCUGGUGCCGCAGGGAAGCCGUGAAGCGAGCCACCUGGGAAGUACGGCCGCAAGGCUGAACUUAAGGAUUGGCCGGGGGAGCACAACAACGGGUGGAGCCUGCGGUUUAAUUGGACUCAACGCCGGACAACUCACCGGGGACGACAGCAAUAUGUAGGCCAGGCUGAAGACCUUGCCUGAAUCGCUGAGAGGAGGUGCAUGGCGUAGACGUCU